rnacentral:rRNA from 1 species
AACGAACGCUGGCGGCAUGCCUAACACAUGCAAGUCGAACGAAGCCUUCGGGCUUAGUGGCGCACGGGUGCGUAACGCGUGGGAAUCUGCCCUUUGGUUCGGAAUAACAGUUGGAAACGACUGCUAAUACCGGAUGAUGACGAAAGUCCAAAGAUUUAUCGCCAGAGGAUGAGCCCGCGUAGGAUUAGCUAGUUGGUGUGGUAAAGGCGCACCAAGGCGACGAUCCUUAGCUAGUCUGAGAGGAUGAUCAGCCACACUGGGACUGAGAAACGGCCCAGACUCCUACGGGAGGCAGCAGUGGGGAAUAUUGGACAAUGGGCGAAAGCCUGAUCCAGAAAUGCCGCGUGAGUGAUGAAGGCCCUAGGGUUGUAAAGCUCUUUUACCCGGGAUGAUAAUGACAGUACCGGGAGAAUAAGCUCCGGCUAACUCCGUGCCAGCAGCCGCAGUAA